rfam:Erinaceus europaeus cont1.270178, whole genome shotgun sequence.
CAACUAAAGGCACCUUUGCCCAUAUCAUGUGGGACUUUGACAAGCUCGGAGGUUUCUGAGGGUAAUCCACUCUGAAUGGGAUCAGGUCAGUCAUUUACUUUGUAUGCACAGACUAUUAAAAAUACUCUA